GACGAACGCUGGCGGCGUGCCUAAUACAUGCAAGUAGAACGCUGAAGGAGGAGCUUGCUUCUCUGGAUGAGUUGCGAACGGGUGAGUAACGCGUAGGUAACCUGCCUGGUAGCGGGGGAUAACUAUUGGAAACGAUAGCUAAUACCGCAUAAUAGUAGAUGUUGCAUGACAUUUGCUUAAAAGGUGCAAUUGCAUCACUACCAGAUGGACCUGCGUUGUAUUAGCUAGUUGGUGGGGUAACGGCUCACCAAGGCGACGAUACAUAGCCGACCUGAGAGGGGGAUCGGCCACCCUGGGACUGAGAAACGGCCAAGAAUCCUACGGGAGGCAGCAGUAGGGAAUCUUCGGAAAUGGACGGAAGUCUGACCGAGCAACGCCGCGUGAGGGAAGAAGGUUUUGGGAUCGUAAAGCUCUGUUGUAAGAGAAAAACGGGGGGGAGAGGGGAAAGUGCAAACGGUGACGGUAUUUUACCAGAAAGGGACGGCUAACUACGG
rnacentral:rRNA from 1 species